rnacentral:rRNA from 1 species
CCUACGGUGAGCUGCAGUGAGGCAUAUUGGUCAAUGGCCGGAAGGCUGAACCAGCCAAGUCGCGUGAGGGACGACUGCCCUAUGGGUUGUAAACCUCUUUUAUCAGGGAAGAAUAAAUGCUACGUGUAGCAUGAUGCCUGUACCUGAUGACUCAGCCUCGGCUAACUCCGUGUCAGCAGCCGCGUUAAUACGGAGGAUGCGAGUGUUAUCCGGAUUUAUUGGGUUUAAAGGGUGCGUAGGCGGUUUUUUAAGUUAGUGGUUAAACGUCGGGGCUUCACCUUGAUUUGCCAUUAAUACUGUAAGACUCGAGUUCAGACGAGGUAGGCGGAAUAAGUUAAGUAGCGGUGAAAUGCUUAGAUAUAACUUAGAACUCCGAUAGCGAAGGCAGCUUACCAGACUGCGACUGACGCUGAAGCACGAGAGCGUGGGUAGCGAACAGGAUUAGAUACCCGAGUAGUC